AUGACAUCUUUAGUAGACGAGACUUCAUCCUGUCCGUUCAUGCAGUCUGUUUCAUUGACACAUACCCACAUGUCGCCUAGGUGUCAAGCACAGAUAGGUCGUCUCGAACAUGUCGGCCUGAUGUGUUUCAACUUUAAGAAAUUACAAAUUGACUCCAAAAGCUAUAAUUUCCUUCACCUGGGUCCCUAGGUUUAAAUUCAAUUUGAAAA
rnacentral:lncRNA from 1 species